rnacentral:misc_RNA from 1 species
UAGAACGUUUCGUUCAUUUAGGCCCUUUAGGUCAUCUAUGUAUUUGUUGAUUACAUAUGCCUUUUAAAGAGACGUGACGAAACAAAAGUGCCAGCAGACAUACACAUGCUGAGUUGCCAAUUUUAAAUUUAGUCUCUAGAUACUUCUUUUACAUUAUACAGCUAUAUGAAUCUAUUGUGUUACUCAUUUACAAAUAUGUCACUGCAUUCUGAUUUUUGAUUUUCCAUCUAAACUGGCGUGAUAUAUAAUUACAGGAAAGAGUGAUGCUCCCGUGAAACGGACCGCCAGUAGGACCUGCCGAUACGUAACCACCGCUGAAUUGCUCCCGCCAGAAGGACCGUCAGUAGGACUCAUCGAUACGUAUCAGCCGAAACCUUUACCACCCACCACCACCACAUAUACUUGAGGAAAACCAACUAGGACUUCAAAUAUCUCACAUCAACCUCUGCCUGACCACAGCAAGCGACUGCUCAACCGGAGCAGACCCUUGAAGAACCCAGAUUUAUUUUAAUGUCUUCGGAAAAGAAAGAUCGAUUCAAUGCAUGAAAAAUACGCAAAGGUAUGUUCAUACCGGAUACUUUAAGAGGCUGUAUGAUUGAGACGGACGUUUCUUCUUAUUUGCAAACAUCAUCAACUGGACAAGAUGAAUUUCACCCCUUUAUUGAGGCACUUUUACCAUACGUUAAGUCAUUUUCCUACUCUUGGUUUAAUUUGCAAGCCGCAAAACGAAAAUAUUAUAAGAAACAUGAAAAAAGAAUGUCAUUGGAAGAGGAAAGGCACUGCAAGGAUGAACUGCAGAAUGAAAAGACUGAAGUCAAACAAAAGUGGGCCUCACGAUUGCUUGGAAAACUUCGGAAGGAUAUUACUCAAGAAAGUCGGGAGGACUUUGUUCAAUCUAUAAUCGGCAAGCGCCAAUCUAUUUGUGUGCUUUCAAACCCUGACCAGAAGGGAAAAAUGCGUCGCAUUGACUGUUUGCGACAAGCUGACAAAGUAUGGAGGCUUGACUUGGUCAUGGUCAUUCUUUUUAAAGCAAUUCCAUUAGAAAGCACCGACGGCGAGCGCUUAGAAAAAAAUCCAGACUGCCUACAUCCAGGCUUGUGUGUCAACCCAUAUCAUAUAAAUGUCUCUGUAAGAGAACUUGACUUAUAUUUGGCAAACUUUAUAAACACUCAUAAUUCAGUUUCACAUUCAACCUUAAAUUGUUCCACCAUGGUACGCUCAAUAUCACGAUCCCCUCUGUUGACAUUAUAUAAUCGUAGUGAUUCAUCGAAUAAAAAGGAUGAUGGUGAUGAUUUGAAAAAUGAGAAAAUUAAGCACAACCCUUAUAAUGGGGUGAUGUGUAACGAUAUUAUUUUAGCAACUGGAGUGUUUUCAUCCAAAGAACUAUGGGAAUUAUCUAAAGAAUCAAUUUUGGAUGAAGUAAACGAUGGAGGUUUGGACUCAAGCCUAAUAAAAAGGGAGAGUGUUGGGGCUACCUAUGACUGCAAUACAUAUCAACUUAGUUCAGAAACUUCAAUGCCCGGUGUUCAGGGUAUAGUUCAAGUGGGAUCAGCUGUGACUAACCCCAUACCCAUCAGUUAUGUUAAUUUUUUAGAUCAAAGGAGUAUGCUUAUGCCUCAAAAUACAUUAAUUCGUACUCAAGGAACAAGUGUCAACGCAAAUGAUCAUAAUGAGAUCGAUAGAACUCAUUCCCCAACAGUUAUAAAUGCUUCAUCAGAAAAUGGCCGUAAUAGUUUUUCAAUGCUUCAAAGGGCGACAGAUAGUAGCAGCUUAAGUGAAGAGCCAAAGUCAGCAGAAUCAGAAUCUUCCCUUCAUCGCUAUUCAUCGCUCCAUAAUAGGUCCAUACCCCAAGGUGUUCAACAUCAUAAUUCCUCUUCUAUGCAUUCAUCACCGGCCAGUGCCCUAUAUUAUCCACAACAAAGCAAUCAACGAUCACAAAUAACUACAUUGGCUGAAGAUCAAAAUCGCGUUACUGAGCCCCACGAUAUUUCUGAAUUUGUUACGUAUGUGUGUCAGGAUUCUAAUCACAAUACUAUUACGGGUUCAGUUGGUAAUAAUACAUUUCAACAUGGACCAGCAUCACAUUUUCAAAUACAUCAACAGCUCCGCAGCGCGAAAUUAGCGUCUUCACCGUCGACUCAUUACCAUAGUACGAUGCUACCGCCUAUGCUCCCGCCAAUGGCGCGACCAGUAGCUAUAAUUCGAAGCAGCGGAGAUUUGACUUUAGUUCAAACACCAUCGCCUGCCAUAAACUCCGUUAAUAGUUCCCCCAACGUGACGAGCAACAUAUCAGACGUAGCUAAAAGUAACUCGGAUUCGGAAAACAAUAGAUCUCUAGAUACAAUAGAGACCAAUACUAGACCAAUAACUUCGGAUACUAUUCAACAAAACGUUCACAGUUCUGAAAACGAAUUAAUAGGUGGCUCGUCCCCUCGACCGCAUGCGAAUGCUUCGACUUCCCCAAAUCCACAAAAUUAUAAUGACUCUGGUCGGUGCAAAGCUUCAUCGGCUGGUUUAAACUCAGUAAGCAGAAUAACCGCACAAAUGUAUUCUUCCUCAAAUAAUAGAGAAUAUUUUAAUCAUUUUCAUUCACAAGCGUCCCCGGUGUACCGCGGAAACUGCAGGUGAUGGAACCUAUUCUGGACUGGACUUUAUUUCAGGGGAGCCUAAAGGUUAUGGAACAGUUAAUAUUUUACGUAGAAGAAAAAAAAUUGAAAAUCGUCGUCUUGUGUAACUCAUUGAAAAAAUUCAAUUCUAAGGCUUGGGCUUUGAAGUUUAGGAGCAGAAUUUAGGGCCCUAUGAAAGAAAAAUUUGAGUUUGCCCUGCUUUAGAGUAUUUUCAAAAAUUGAUUCUGAACACGUAAUUAAUUUUACCUUUAUAAACUUAACGAAAUAAUGAAGACAUACAUAUUCAUUAAACAACAUUUAGAGUUAAAGAAAACUUAAUGUAUAGGCCAAACUGCGAGUAUGUGGCGAUCAUUAUGAGACUCAUUCACAUAAGAGACAAGUUUUUAAUUAGAAAAGUGUAUUUGGUGUUAACCUUUGUUUAUUAAACACUUUGCGCAUAUGCCAAUUUAUAUAAAGGUUCCUACCUUAUCGAAUCGAAUAAAAUUAAAUGUCGUUAACAGCUUUUGAAAAACGAUAGACUAAUUUCACAGGCCUGCGAAAUUUAACAUUUUUCAGUUUCAAGAAUGGAUGUACUUGUUUCGAGUAUUUUUUUUAGGGGCAAAAUUCGAAUGUGACCUCCAAAAUGCUCCAUCACGUCAAGAUUUUUGGAUUAUGAAGCCUAAAUAGUCAACAUGUGGCCAUUUUUGCCAUUUUUGAUAAUUUUUUUGGGAUAUAAUUAUAGUUAAAGACAA